UAGCCUCGGCUCAAGCGUGAGUACCCGCUGAACUUAAGCAUAUCAGUAAGCGGAGGAAAACAAACUAAACAGGAUUCUCUUAGUAACUGCGAGUGAACAGAGAUUAGCCCAAUAUCGAAGCUCACAAGCAUAUUGUUUGUUGAGCAAUGUGAUUUUAAGAUAUUUGCUAACGUAUAGUGGCCGACUUGAAGUCCAAAUUUGAAUGUGGCAUGUUGGUAUAAACCCCAAAGAUGGUGAAAGGCCCGUUCAAGUUGGUAAUCAGAUGUGACAUUAUACGUAUAUGCAUUUAUCAUGGAGUCGGAUUGCUUGAGAGUGCAGUCCAAAGUUGGUGGUAAACUCCAUCUAAGGCUAAAUACCUGUACGAGUCCGAUAGUUAACAAGUACCGUGAGGGAAAGUUGAAAAGUACUCUGAAGAGAGAGUAAACAGUACGUGAAACUACUUGGAGGUUAAUCAGAUAGAGUCAAGCUGCUUGUUAUUAAGCAUUGCUUUACAUGCUCUAUUGUAGACAAGACAUGUACCAUACACAGUGCAAUAGUUGCCAGUUUAUUUAAUAGGCGGGUACUUUAUUGUAAAUGAUGUACCAAGUGUAUGAUGUAUGUGUCAGCAUGUAUUGUUAAUGUUGAUAACUUGUGCCACAAUCGUUUACUUAAUCAGAGUGAUUUAACCAGCUGUUGUUAAUUUAGAUUGCAAAAUUUAAAUGGGCAUAUAGUUAAACAGUUAGUUUGAAAGCAAUUAUUUAUAAUUGUUUACUUACUGAAAUGGGUCAUGGCCUGUUGGUUAAAACAAUUUCUGUGUGAGUAAUCGGUAACAUAUAUACAUGUUAGGUUGUAUUAUGGUUUAGCCUGAUGAAAAUUGGGGUGGCUAUGUGCAAGCGUGUAUGUGAAUUGUGGUUCUGUGGUAGACUUUCUAUUUGACCCGUCUUGAAACACGGACCAAGGAGUUUAACUACAUUGCAAGUCAAAGGGCAUGAUUAACCCUAUGGCGAAAUAAAUGUGAUCAUUAAAAGUGUGAUCUGUGAGGAUUUGUUUACAAAGCUUUGCAGCGCAACACUGGCCCGUCCUAACAUGUGUGUGGUGUAUGUCACAUAACAUGAGGGCGGUGCAUGAGCAAUGUAGUUGAGACCCGAAAGAUGGUGAGCUAUGCUUGCAUAGGUUGAAGCCAGAGGAAACUCUGGUGGAAGACCGUAACGAUUCUGACGUGCAAAUCGAUCGUUGAAUGUGAGUAUAGGGGCGAAAGACUAAUCGAACCAUCUAGUAGCUGGUUCCCUCCGAAGUUUCCCUCAGGAUAGCUAGUAUUCAUUAUUAUUCAGUUUUAUUCGGUAAAGCGAAUGAUAAGAGGUACCCAGGGGAAAAGUUUUCCUCAACCUAUUCUCAAACUUUAAAUGGGUAAGAUGUUCAACUCGCUUAAUUGGAGUUGAACAUCGAAUGUGAAUACUAAGUGGGCCAUUUUUGGUAAGCAGAACUGGCGCUGUGGGAUGAACCAAACGUGUUGUUAGAGUGCCUAACACUAACGCUCAUGAGAUACCAAAAAAGGUGUUGAUGCAUUUAGACAGCAGGACGGUGGCCAUAAAAGUCGGAAUCCGCUAAGGAGUGUGUAACGACUCACCUGCCGAAUGCAUCAGCCCUGAAAAUUCAUGGCGCUAGAGCUUUGGACUCAUACAAUACUAUCGGUGCCUGCUGAGUUAUGACACUGUUAUACUCAGGCUAUGAGGUAUUCCGAUAAGUAGGAGGGACACCGUGAUGGCUAUGAAGCGGAGUUCGUGAGAACUUGUGGAGCUGUCACGGGAGCUGAUCUUGGUGGUAGUAGCAAUUAUUCAAGUGGAAUUCCUUGAAGACCGAGGUCGGAGAAGGGUUCCAUGGAAACACCGCUUGGCCAUGGGUCAGGCGGUCCUAAAUGAUCUUGGUGAUUCAGUAAAAAUCGAGUGGGUGUAAAGUGACGCAAGUUAUUUUUACAUGAAAAAUAUGUAAAUAUCUCACUCUGGGUUGAAAGGGAAUCAGGUUAACAUUCCUGAUCAAGUUGUGGAAAUUAACAGCUUCGGCUGUAAUGCGUGGUAACACAAGCUACCUUGGAGACGCUAAUGGAAGUUCCGGGAAGAGGUCUCUUUUCUUUGUUAAGAAACAAUAACCCCUAAAAUGGACUCGUUCCGAGAAAGGGGCCCCGUUUCUGUAAAGCGCCACCUACCCGGUGGUGUCCGGAAUUCUUCUGUUGGCCCUUGAAAAUCCAAGACUGGCAAUAAUUUUCACAACUGCCCGUACCCAUAUCCGCAUCAGGUCUCCAAGGUUAAUAGCCUCUGGUGCUUGAACAAUGUUGGUAAGGGAAGUCGGCAAUUUGGAUCCGUAACCUCGGAAAAAGGGUUGGCUCUGAGGGCCGAGUUUGACGGGCUAUAGAAGGAUACGCGUGGACUUUUGCGUAAGCUGGGCAAUGAACUUCUUUAAUUAGAGGUGAAUGCUUGGAGUGUGCAUAAGUCCUGUGUUGAAUGCUGUAGCUGUACAGGCGUAGCGAUGUUGUGGCACUUUGUGUUACUCUAGCUAUUGUCUUCGUCAAGCGAAAAACGGCUAACUCAGAACUGGUACGGUCCAGAGGAAUCCGACUGUCUAAUUAAAACAUAGCAUUGCGAUGGCCGUUAAACGGUUCUGACGCAAUGUGAAUUCUGCCCAGUGCUCUGAAUGUCAAAGUGAAGAAAUUCAAUCAAGCGCGGGUAAACGGCGGGAGUAACUAUGACUCUCUUGUGGUAGCCAAAUGCCUUGUCAUCUAAUUAGUGACGCGCAUGAAUGGAUUAACGAGAUUCCUUCUGUCCCUAUCUACUAUCUAGCGAAACCACAGCCAAGGGAACGGGCUUGGUAGAACCAGCGGGGAAAGAAGACCCUGUUGAGCUUGACUCUAGUCCGACUCUGUGAAGAGACAUG
rnacentral:rRNA from 1 species